rnacentral:tRNA from 1 species
GCGGAUGUGGCGGAAUUGGCAGACGCACUGGAUUUAGGUUCCAGCGCCGCAAGGCGUGGAGGUUCGAACCCUCUCAUCCGCACCA